rnacentral:rRNA from 1 species
AACGAACGCUGGCGGCAGGCUUAACACAUGCAAGUCGAGCGCAUCGCAAGAUGAGUGGCAGACGGGUGAGUAACGCGUGGGAACAUACCCUUUUCUACGGAAUAGCUCUGGGAAACUGGAAUUAAUACCGUAUACGCCCUACGGGGGAAAGAUUUAUCGGGAAAGGAUUGGCCCGCGUUGGAUUAGCUAGUUGGUGGGGUAAAGGCCUACCAAGGCGACGAUCCAUAGCUGGUCUGAGAGGAUGAUCAGCCACAUUGGGACUGAGACACGGCCCAAACUCCUACGGGAGGCAGCAGUGGGGAAUAUUGGACAAUGGGCGCAAGCCUGAUCCAGCCAUGCCGCGUGAGUGAUGAAGGCCUUAGGGUUGUAAAGCUCUUUCACCGAUGAAGAUAAUGACGGUAGUCGGAGAAGAAGCCCCGGCUAACUUCGUGCCAGCCGCCGCCGUAAAAC